rnacentral:miRNA from 15 species
AUCGAGCCUCUUCGUUCCUUUCCACAGCUUUCUUGAACUUCCCGUGGGCGCUGGACUCGAGCAAGUUCAGGAAAGCUGUGGGAAUGCAUGGAGAGGUUGGAA